rnacentral:misc_RNA from 1 species
CAUCGCUCUAAUCACUUAUGUAAUAACCUUCCUUUUGAAUGCCGCCGGUUGUAACCUUUAUAGCGAUAGCGAGUCAAAAAAAUAUCUUUCGAUCAGAAAAGAAAGAGCUUUCCCCUUUUCUCUACUACUCCCGUCAAACAAUAGACCUAAGACCCCUUUGCUGCAGGGAAAAGGUAAGGAAGAACCAAAGUAGUUAACCGAGUCGUGGGCGGCAAUGCUUGGGCAAGAGAGUCAAUCCGUGUUUAGUAGAGUGCCUUCUGAUCCUGCGAUUGAGGAUAAAGAAAAGAGUCCGAGUUCUACUAAUACUAAUAAGAAUAACCACCUUGCUUUCUGGGGCUUCCAUUACUUGCUUCAAUUGCAUUGAUUUAUCCUUUCUGGCCUCAGACUUGUGCCUAAUCUUCUAAAGAUCAACCGCGAGUCAAAGAACUCCUCUUUCGUAGUACACUUCUUUUAUUGAAUUGACUGUAAAAGGUGUGAUGGUCUCGCCAAUGAAUUUCCUCGUUAACAGCAGGAUCUUUUCCACUUCUUGCUGAAUACCUUUUCUUGCUUCCUCCAAUAGGCAAUAGGCCAUCCUCUCCUAAGGAAGUAGUUCAAUGAAGGCAUCGAGUGAUUUCACCCCGGCUCAUCCAUCGCUCGGGAUGGAGGUUGCUUUUUCUUGGCUGUAAGCUGCUUUCUUAGUUGUAGAAAUCCAUCACUAGUCUUUCACAACGAAUAGACACCAACCAUCAUAUGUG